rnacentral:lncRNA from 1 species
CGAGGAUUGUAUUACUACAGUUGUGGACACAGGAGAGGGGUUAGUCUCCCCCCGCUCCAGGAGUAAGGGAUGCUGGGCUGCUCGAACACAGGCCUUGUUAGAACUCCCUUCAAACAGGAUCCCAGAGAUGUGGGGAGAAGGUAACUGGCCUUAAGAAUGAUUGCGCUACAGCUUUCGAAAACUAUAAUGCCUUUCAAAUAUGGCUUAUUGCUUGGAUCUCAAUAUCUCCCACGUAUCUUGGGUGGAAUAUUUUGCCGAAGAUCUUUCUGUCAAUCAUUUACAAUCAUGUGCUGCAAAAUGAAGUUUGGGUCAACAGUAGACCACAUAUAUGAUGGUGGUUCUGUAAGCGUAUAAUGGAGCUAUCCCUAUAUAGGUAUACCAUUUUUAUCUUUUUUUUUUUUUUUUUUUUUUUUUUGAGAUGGAGUCUCGCUCUGUUGUCCAGGCUGGAGUGCAGUGGUAUGAUCCCAGCUCAUUGCAACCUCCACCUCCCAGGUUCAAGUGAUUCUCCUACCUCAGCCUCCUGAGUAGCUGGGAUUAUAGACACGCGUCACCACACUCAGCUAAUUUUUGUAUUUUUAGUAGAGAUGGGGUUUCAUCAUGUUGGCCAGGCUGGUCUUGAACUCCUGAGCUCAAGUGAUCCACCCACCUUGGCGUCCCAAAGUGCUGGGAUUACAGGCAUGAGCCACUGUGCCCAGGCCCCAUUUUUAUCUUUUACACAGUAUUUUAACUAUAUAUUUUCCAUGUUUACAUACACAAAUACCUGCCAUUCUGUGACAGUUGCCUUUAGUAUUCAGUACAGUAACAUACAGUACAGGUUUGUAGCCUAGGAGUCCUAAGCCAUACCGUGUACCCUAGGUAUGGUGGCUACACCACCUAGGUUUGUGUAAGUAUACGCUAUGAUAUUAGCACAAUGGUGAAAUCACCUAGUGACACAUUUCUCAAGCUCCUCACGUGGCAAGCAAUGCAUGACUGCAUAUGAAAGCUCUUAAAUAGAGAUUGUUUCUAAAUUAAUCUCAAAACAGUCAUUAUUUACUAUUUAUGGAAUUUUUUUUAAAAAAAGGAGCAAAAGUAUCAUUUCAGUGGGAACUUAACUUGGGGCUACAGUGUUUUAUUUAACUUUUACCCCAAAGUUGCAAAGUGUUUUGAAAUUUUUCCCUGUAAAAUAAUUAUUUUAAUUCAAUUUAAAUAAAACCCACCAAGGAGACUUCAAGCUUUAAGAAGUCUAGCUUCCUGUGAAAUGUGAGAGGAAGUCAGCACUCAUUUCAGAAAUCUGAUUAUAACGAUAGCUCCAUCCCUAAAUGAGGUGAAUCUUGGACUCUCUUCCAUUUUAUUUUAUUUUAUUUUUUUGAGAUGGAGUUUCUCUCUUGUUGCCCAGGCUGAAGUGCAAUGUUGCGAUCUCGGCUCACUGCAACCUCUGCCUCCCAGGUUCAAGUGAUUCUCCUGCUUUGGCCUCCUGAGUAGCUGGGAUUGCAGAAAUUUCCAAGGAAACUAUAUUUCUUACAUUGAUGGAAAUGUAUGGAAAGCAUACAGUUGGACUGAGAAACUGUGAGUAUAUUCUCUCCAAAUAUGACAAAAAGCUAACUGCAUUGUAAGAUCCUUCUUGGUCCAGAAUUUUGAGGUCGGUACCUCUGAGGAAAGAUAUUUCUCCUCCAUGCCCCAAAUCAACCACUGUUGAUUGCAAUUGUAUGGUCAUUUUAAAAUUAAAUUUGGUAGGCUCUCUUUAAAAUAAGAGGCAAUUUAAAUUUAUUUUUUAUCAUACAAAUAGUACAUGGUUAUAUUCCUUUUUGUUCUCUUUUUUGUUUUUUUUUUCAGAGACAGGGUCUUACUUUGUCCUCUGGGCUGCAGUGCAGUGGCACAAUCACAGCUCACUGCAGCCUUCACCUCCCAGGCCCAAGUGAUCCUCUCACCUCAGCCUCCCCAGUAGCUGGGACCACAGGUGCAUGCCACCACACCCACCUAAUUUUGUAUUUUUUGUAGAGACAGGGUCUUCCUAUGCUGCUUAGGCUGGUCUUGAACUCCUGGGCUCAAGUGAUCCUCCCACCUUGGCCUCUUAAAGUGUUCAUAUUACAGGCAUGAGCCACCACCCGCAGCCCAUGAUUCCAUUUUUAAUAUAUAAAAAUGCAAUAACAGAUAUAACAAAAACUCUCCUUGUGCCCUACUCCCUCAUCCCUGAAGUAAUGCUACUCUGCAUUUAGUAUACAUGCUUCCAGACUUUUCCUCAUUUACCUACAUACAUAUUUACAUAAAGCAAAAUAGAUUUGUUUUGUGGUUUUAAAAUUUUUUCUUCGCAUAAAGGGUAACAUCUUGCAACUUGAUUCUUUCACUUCAUGAUAUGCCUUAGAUUUCUUUCCUUCCCAGUACUUAGAGGGUCACCCCAUUCAUUUAAACUCCUGCAUAAUCCAUAGUAUGGAUGCAUCAUGGUUUAUUUAAUAAUUCCCCCAUUGAUGAAUGUUUAGAUUAUGCUUAGUUUUCUUGUUACAUGCAUUGCUGCAAUGAAAUCCCUGUACAUGCUUCUUUGUGAACAUGUGCAAGUAUUCCUGUAGCAUAGAUAUCUGGAAAUGGAAUUCUUGGGGUGAAGACUAUGUAGAUAUAAAAUUUUAAUUGCCUUCAAAAAUUUUGUGCCAACUUACUCUAUUGUCAGCAGAAUAUGACAGCAUUCAUUUCCCAACACCUUUUCACCGCUGGGUAUUCUCCAACAUUUUGCUGAAGUUAUGGAUGAAUAAAAGGGAUUCCAUCUAAAUGUGAAUUUUUCUGAUUACUCAUGAAUUUAAUUUAGUAUCUUUAUAUGUUUAUUGAACAUUUGUGUUUCUUCUCUGAGUUUUCUGGCCUUUGUUCAUUUUCCUGUUGAAUUGUUUUAUCAUUUUCUUACUGAUUUAUAGAAGGAAUUGGUUUAGACACAUAAGUGAUUUUGGAAAAAAUGCUUACAUUCAAAGUAACUGACAUUUUUCACAACAGUUUGUGUGUCACAUCAUUAUUUCAAUGUAUAUAGACAAGCCACGAUGAGUUCUAAAUUAAAAAUAAACAUAUGCUAGGCGCGGUGGCUCACGCCUUUAAUCCCAGCACCUUGGGAGGUAGGCGGAUCACCUGAGGUCAGGAGUUUGAGACCAGCCUGGCCGAUAGGGCGAAACCCCAUCUCUACUAAAAAUACAAAAAGUAGCCAGGCGUGGUGGUGGGUGCCUGUAAUCCCAUCUACUUGGGAAGCUGAGGCAGGAGAAUUGCUUUAUUUAUUUUUUCAGAUGGAAUUUUGUUCUUGUUGCCCAGGCUGGAGUGCAAUGGUGCGAUCUUGGCUCACUGCAACCUCCACCUCCCGGGUUCAAGUGAUUCUCUGCCUCAGCCUCCCAAGUAGCUGAGACUACAGGGGGGCACCACCACACCCGGCUAAUUUUUGUAUUUUUAGUAGAGAUGGGGUUUCUCCAUGUUGGCCAGGCUGGUCUCCAACUCCUGACCUCAGGUAAUCCACCAGGCUUGGCUUCCCAAAGUGCUGGGAUUACAGGUGUAAGCCACCACACUCAGCCAGGAUACAUUUGAUACAACUGGAGAAAUUAGAAUAAGGACUAGGUGCUAGAUAUUAAAGAAUUAUUAUUAAUUUUGGAGAUGUUAUAAUAGCAUGAAGAUUUUAUAUAUAUAUA